AUGACUGAUGGUGGUUCACAUUUUAUUCAUGGUGCUUUCUGUAAGAUGCUUGCUAAGUAUGAUGUCAAUCAUAGAAUAGCAUCUCCUUAUCAUACGCAUUCUAGUGGUCAUGUAGAGUUGAGCAAUAGAGAGCUCAAAUUAACUUUGCAAAAGACUAUGAAUAGAUCUAGAAAGAAUUGGUCCAAAAAACUUGAUAAUGCAUUAUGGGCCUAUAGAACUGCAUACAAAAAUCCUAUGGGUAUGUCUCCUUAUAAGAUGGUUUAUGGAAAAGCAUGUCAUUUACCUCUUGAACUUGAACACAAGGCAUACUGGGCUAUCAAAGAGCUCAAUUAUGACUUCAAACUUGCCGGUGAGAAGAGGUUGUUUGAUAUUAGCUCACUUGAUGAAUGGAGAACCCAAGCCUAUGAGAAUGCCAAGCUUUUCAAAGAAAAAGUCAAACGUUGGCAUGAUAAGAGGAUACAGGAAAACUUCUCUCAAAGUGGGAAGGUCCCUACGUUAUCGAGGAGGUCUAUCAUUCUGGUGCUAUAA
rnacentral:rRNA from 1 species